rnacentral:tRNA from 1 species
GCGGAUGUGGCGGAAUUGGCAGACGCGCCAGACUUAGGAUCUGGUCCCGUUAAACGGGUUGGGGGUUCGAGUCCCUUCAUCCGCA